GUAAGGAAUAUUGGUCAAUGGGGGCAACCCUGAACCAGCCAUGCCGCGUGAAGGAUGAAGGCGUUAUGCGUUGUAAACUUCUUUUGUAUGGGAAGAAUGACAGGGAUUCAUCCUUGGAGAGACGGUACCAUACGAAUAAGCACCGGCUAACUCCGUGCCAGCAGCCGCGGUAAUACGGAGGGUGCAAGCGUUAUCCGGAAUCACUGGGUUUAAAGGGUACGUAGGCGGUUAAUUAAGUCAGUAGUGAAAGACUGUCGCUCAACGACGGAUGUGCUAUUGAUACUGGUUAACUUGAAUCAGGUUAGAGUUGGCGGAAUGGGUCAUGUAGCGGUGAAAUGCUUAGAUAUGACUUGGAACACCGAUAGCGAAGGCAGCUUACUGGGAUGCAACUGACACUGAUGCACGAAAGCGUGGGUAUCAAACAGGAUUAGAAACCCGUGUAGUCC
rnacentral:rRNA from 1 species